UAGGGAAUCUUCGGCAAUGGACGAAAGUCUGACCGAGCAACGCCGCGUGAGUGAAGAAGGUUUUCGGAUCGUAAUACUCUGUUGUUAGAGAAGAACAAGGACGUUAGUAACUGAACGUCCCCUGACGGUAUCUAACCAGAAAGCCACGGCUAACUACGUGCCAGCAGCCGCGGUAAUACGUAGGUGGCAAGCGUUGUCCGGAUUUAUUGGGCGUAAAGCGAGCGCAGGCGGUUGCUUAAGUCUGAUGUGAAAGCCCCCGGCUCAACCGGGGAGGGUCAUUGGAAACUGGGAGACUUGAGUGCAGAAGAGGAGAGUGGAAUUCCAUGUGUAGCGGUGAAAUGCGUAGAUAUAUGGAGGAACACCAGUGGCGAAGGCGGCUCUCUGGUCUGUAACUGACGCUGAGGCUCGAAAGCGUGGGGAGCAAACAGG
rnacentral:rRNA from 1 species